GAUCCUGGCUGCAGAACGACGCUGGCGGCGUGCCUAACACAUGCAAGUCGAGCGAGAAAAGGGGGGCAACCCCCUGAGUAAAGCGGCGCACGGGUGAGUAACACGUAGGUGACCUACCCUCGAGCCUGGGAUAACCCGCCGAAAGGUGGGCUAAUACCGGAUAUGACCACGGGCAUCACGGUGCCUGCGGUGAAAGAUGGCCUCUACUUGUAAGCUAUUACUCGAGGAUGGGCCUGCGCGCCAUUAGCUAGUUGGCGGGGUAAUGGCCCACCAAGGCUAUGAUGGCUAGCUGGUCUGAGAGGAUGGCCAGCCACACUGGGACUGGAACACGGCCCAGACUCCUACGGGAGGCAGCAGUGGGGGAUAUUGCGCAAUGGCGAAAGCCUGACGCAGCGACGCCGCGUGGGUGAUGAAGGCCUUCGGGUCGUAAAGCCCUGUCGAGGGGGACGAAUCGGUUUCGACCUAACACGUCGAAAUCCUGACGGUACCUCUAAAGGAAGCACCGGCUAACUCCGUGCCAGCAGCCGCGGUAA
rnacentral:rRNA from 1 species